CCUGUAGGGUCACCAUGUCACUGGCCCAUGGCGGCUGGGAGGUCCCAUCGAGGGGUGCCGCUUGCUGGGGGGGCUGGGGGGCUUCCUGGCUCUGCCCACCUCCCCCUUCCCUCUCCCCUCCCUGCUUUGCGGCAGUGUUUGGGGAGAUUAUGCAGAGUUGACGUUGGAAUAUGAAUGAGGCGGCGGCAGCAGCCAAAUAUUGGAAUUAGGGAGAGCGGGAGCCCAGGCCGGGAUCCAGGAGCAGCUGGGACAUCUGUGCCUUGGCUCUUCCAGAUGCCUGACCCCGUGCCCACCUGGAACCGCCUGGUCCCUGAGCCACAGAGCAGCCCCGCCGCAGCCAAGCUCUGGUCCCUGGCUUGCCGCGGCGAGGAGCCCUGUGGAACUUGGCUUCCAUCUCGGCUUCUGCUGGGGUUUGAGAAGUGGGGCUGGGGGGGCCGACUCCUCCUAAAGACGCACCCUACACUGAAUUUCCUGGAGUCCCACACCUGGCGCUUUUCUAGGGGACCGGUCCACGGUUGCCAAAGUAUGUUCCAUGGAACCCGUGUUUUGCAGACUUUUAAUGCAUUCUCCAUGGCCAUAUGUUUGAGAAAUGUGUUCAACAGCAAGGGUGCAGGACGUCUCAGAACGCUUAACAAUUUAAUGGUCAUAGUGAUUCAUCCAAAGGAGCAGAGGUACAAUGUGCUUCCUUCCAAACUCGUUUGACAAGUGCCCUCUGCCUCAGUUGGUAUCUCUUGGAUACUGCUGCUGGCAGAGCUGUCUCCUCUCGCGGCUGUUGGUACCAGUGUGUGGGUCUGGCAGGAAGUGGACCCCUGGUGCACCUGCCUUUCCAGCAGAGUGGACGCGGCCAUGCGAUGACCACCUUAAGCCCUGCCUCUUCUCUGAACUCACCUGAUGAGUGCAGACCGGCUGGCAGCUUUGUGCUAAUCCGCCCGCAGGGUUUCUGCGCUUUCUUCUGCAGGAAGAGCCGUGGGCGAGGUGGUGUGGAUCCUCCUGCUGCCCUGGCCUUGUCCCUUGGGCUUGCUGAGCAAUGGGUAGGAGGCGUUGGGUUCCAAGGUGCUUGACUUCUGAGCCCCGGCUCUGCCACGGGUGCCUGGCAUGGCCUAGGGUGCCGAAGAGGCAGGGGCCAGAGGCACUUUUUGAACCGGCUCUUGGGGGACCCCGAGCCCAUGACCAUCUGCUCUUCGGUGCCCCAGCCCUGUCCCAGGCUCCAUUCAGGCCAGCUAUGCCCAGCCUGCUCUCCAGGGGGCGCCUCGGAGUGCGACUGUCCUGCCACGUCGGGAUCCAGGGGCAGCCUCCUCUUCCUCCCUGCUUUCUUCGUAGGCAGCUUCUGGGGCUUAGCUUUGCUUCCACCCCCAGGAAUGAGCAGAAUCAGGAGAAGAAAAAGGCCAGGUUGGAGAAAAACGUGGCCGCUUCCUUGGGAGCCCCUGAGAUGCCAAGUCUUAAACCCGUUGGCCUAGGAUCCCUCCCCUCCAGCUCUGGCAGAAAGUGACUCUGCGGAGUCCGAAGCAUUACCCAGUGGCCGCCCUCCCCUGUCCCCAGAGGGCUCUCCGUCUCCCUGGAUGACUCUCUCACAGCUUCCUAUGGUGUCUCCCCAGAGUCCACUGGCGGCAUCUCAGGCUGUCCCUUUUCAACUCGCCGCUAACUCAGGAUGCCGCCGACUGCCAGGGUAAAGCCAAGGUCCCGCCUCUCCCCAGACGCUGCUAGAAUUCUCCAACCCACCCGCUCUCAAGCUCCAGCCUCUGUUCUCGCUGUGCCUGCAGCCCGAACACCUUUCCCCGUUUUGCUGACCAACUCUGACUCAGCUCCCAGACCUAACUUCUCCCGGUCCGCCUUUCUCUCCUCCGCCCACUCAGAGCUCCUGGAGUAACCGCCUCACCCUGCGGUUUCUGCACGGACCAAAACCAGCAAGCGCUUGCCUUACUCCUCCAUCAUGCAUCUUAUCGAGUCCCCAGUAUUCAGUGUGGUCUUUCAGUUAUUAGACACAACACGCACUCCUGCAACAUGUCCACAUGGUUCGGAAAUCAAAGUCUCACUCUGUCUUAGUUGCUCUCCUUGCUGAGACAGAGUAUCCCCGCCCCCAGCCCCGCAAUCCUCCCAGGUCAAACCAGACCCCACCUCUACCAGCAGGUCAGCUAAAUAAGCCCUGACCAGAUGCCCCACUUCUGAGCUUCGGGGGGUGUGUCCAGCUAUAAACUUAAACACCCUCUCUGACCCUAUUGGUCAUCCCCCCUUCCUGGGUCAUCCUGGCUAAAAGUUUCAGUGUUGUUUUAUCCUUAUGUGUUUGUACAUUCAACAGAUUUGGUGUUCCGGAGCUCUUAACUGACUUCCCCUAUGUGACAUUUAGGUCCUUUCUCAUUUGUUACUGCUACAAAUAAUACUGAAUACGAAGGAGAUGUUUCUGUAGGUAGAGUCUGAUUGCUUGGAGUUACUGGCGAACAGUAUGCACCAAAGUUUUGUUGUUUAGGAGGAGUCUUGCGAUGUUGGCCAGGCUGGUCCCGGACUCCUGGACUCAAGGGAUUUUCCUGCCUCAGCCUCCUCAGUGCUGGAACUACAGAAGCCUUCUUGUUCUGAAGAAUCUGUGACGUCAACUGCAAGACUAGGAGACCUUGGCCUCUCCAGGAGACUCUUCAAACCAUGAAGAAUCCCGGAGUCCCAGGCUCUGUCUUUGUUAGUAGCGGGUGUGAAGUUUUUGUCUUUAGAGCUGGCGUGGAGGAUCUGGGUUACCAUGGCAACCCUGAAGCAGGGCAGCCUCUUCCCUUCCCUCCAUUUUGAGAGCCCUGGUUGCCAUAACAACCAAUAGGCGCACUCCUCUUAGGGCCUCCAGCUUCCUAGGUCUUGGCAACCCUGAUGUCACUUGACCUGUCAUGCCCCUUGGGGUCCUCUGGAGCCAGGUGAGACAGCCGUGUGGCCACCAUGGAAGGGGGAGGUCCAGGCUCAGGAAGAGAGAAGUCUCACCCUUCCAAGCCCAGGAGGGGCCCUGUUGCCUGGUGACCAGAGGGGGAGAAAAUUCCCAGGGGUCACGGGGUCCUUGGGGGACCUAGAAGGCACAGGGUUGGAGUGACCAAGUGUUUCUCCUCAGCACAUCCCACCUAGAUGACCGCCAUUGCUGCUGGAACUCCCUGGGAAAGCAGAGGCUGGAUGAGGGAGGCUCCCAGGCCUCUUCAGAAUGCCCAGAAUAUACCGGGUGGGACACAUGGGCGCUCGGCAGCAUCAUGGAAUCUUCUGUGGCCAAAGGAAAGCAGGAUGCCUGAGGAUUCUGUUGACACUUGGAAAACUCUGCUACUGGGAAGGCAGGAUGAGGGUGGGCACUGCUGCAGCUGUGUGAUGCCAAUGUGGGCUUCUCAGACCCAACCGGGUGGACGGUGACGGAAACAAAGAUGGCGCCACACCCACGAACAGUCUUGCCUCUACUGCUGCGGUCCAAGCUAGACCCUUGGCAUUCGAAGUAGACUCCUGCUUCUGCCCUCAAGCCCCGUUCCUGAGAUCUAAAAAAUGCAGACCCCUAACACCUGUGAACUCUGUGUUUGAUGGAGCUCAGAGACGUCUAUACCCCCAAAUCUCAUUGUGCAAGGGGAAAGGUGCCAGGGGAGAGGUCCGUGGCCUAGCGGUGGGGGCAGGAUGGGGGCCAAGGAACAGUUGGUCCCCUCCAGACUCUCAGGAAGGAGCCAGCUGGAGAGCCUGUCUCCAGGUCCCCACCUCCAUCCUGUGCAGCCUCCAGGAGCCGCCAGAGCUCUAUUCCAGGAUGCUCUGCAUGGAGAUGGGGUGGGGCAGCCUGCCAAGGUCCGGGGGCAGAGUCGGCCUAGGAACUGGUGAGACUCCCAGGCCCCUCCCUCCCCAUCCCCGGGUAUCAGGUCAGGCGUGUAUCAGCACCUGCCCCUAACUCCAAAAGGACGCCGGGAGGUGUUUUCUCGAGGGAAUGAAUGAUCCCACAGAAAUGACUCGAAGAUGCUCACGUCCAGAGAUCUCUAGCAGAAAGGCUGCAGGGAGCAACCGACUGUUUUACAACGAAGCUCAUUCAAUCAACACCCGAAACUCAGAAGCGUAAUGUCUCCGCCAGGCUCAGCCGUGGCCUGGUCUUCAGUAGGAACGCACACUCCAAGGACCCUACAUCUAAGGCCAAGGAGAGAGGGGAAGAACUGGACAGCUUGCUGGAGCCUGCCUCACCACCCUACCCGUGUGUGCAUGUAAACUGCACCCCUUGGUGGUUUUCCUACUGUGUUACAUGAAAAGGUCCACUUCUCAAAAAGUGAUUUACAUUGAUGAAAUAAAAUAGCUAAGAUAAAAAGAUGGUGAUUGAAAAGUUAUUGAAAUGUUAAAAAAACCCAAUUUGUGACAUAGGAAUGCUAUCUUUACCACCUUUAAGAAUCAUAAUAAUUUCAAAGAGGUACUGAACACGUUUUCUGAAUUUCUCUAAUAUUAUAGGUGAUAGGAAAAUAUAUCUAUUUUGUGUUUUGUAGCCUAUAUUUACAAUGGGAGAAAAUCUAAGUUUCAGCUAGAUUAGUGAGUAUAAAAGUUAGUUUCUCCCCAGUCAAGUUCAUGGGCUCCUGAAUUCUGCCUGCAGAUUCUGUGAGAUUUUAACUGUGAACCCCAAUGAGAUCCUUCACUCCUUCUUCUUCUGGAAGCUUCCUUGACUGUCAUGCUUGUCUUUGGGUUUUCCUUGGUGCUGAACAGUUACAACAUGCACUCAUUCAACAAACAUUUAUCAAGAUUGCUGUAAUCAUGUAAGUCACUGUGUCAGAUGUUGGAGGUUCAUGGUAAGGGAGAAAAAUCAGCAGUUUUCCAACCAGUGGAAGAGAGAGACAUAUUUUCAUGCCAGCAUAACCCCAAACAUAACAUGAAAGCUUCAAGUGAGGGUCUGAAGCUUCAGAUGAGGGCUCGGAGGUUAACAUUUCCACUUGGUGAGGAGAUGGAGGAGGAAAAGUUCAGGAAGAAGAUGACAUUUGAACUUGGCCUCCGAGAGGAGACAUAAACAACUUUUUUUUUUGGUACUGGGGAGCAAACUCGGGACCUUGUGCUUUCGAAGCAGGUGGUGAAACCACUGAGCUACAUCCCCAGCCCCAUGAGGAAAGGAUAGCUCUUGCUGGUAUUUUAAUCUUCCACAAGUGGUUGAUGUCUCAGUUUAAUAAGUUUUCAACUUUGCCAUGGUGUGGAAGACUACCUGGAAACCAUUCCAUUUUUCAGUAUCCAAUGGAUUCUCGAGUCACGGCUGGCCUGACAUAUGAACAACUUGGGUUAUGACCAGAACUUUACUUUUAACUUAUGA